UGCCCCUCACUUGCCAAUACGUCUAGAUCAGCCAGGGCGUCGGCAUGUGUAGCGUAUUAUGUUGGGCUCUCUCGAGAUAAGGAUACGAUGUCCCUUUAUCGGUUGGUUUCCUGUGUGCGCUGCCCGUUCGUUUUUUUGUUACUUCGCAUCGUUCGGUGCAUUCUGGGGGCUGUGUUGGCUUUUGGUGGCUUGCUUGGCCUUUUGGCUUUGCUUGUUGCUACUUGUCGGGCUGCUUUCGGGAAUGUCGACCGUGGAGGUGCAUGAGUGGUGUUUGGUUUGUUACGUGUGGAUGGCUGUUUGCUUGUGCAACAACGUUCACGCUGCAUACCUCUUCAGUUUUGCGGCAAGGCGGUUUGGCUUGUGCAUAUUGUGGGUUUCCUGUGUUGCAUACCUAGUUGAUGGAAAAGUGUGGGUUUUACGAUUUUCAUUUUCGUCUUGCGUCGUUCUUUCGGCGUGGGAUGAACAAUGAAGCGAUCUUUAUGAUCCAUCGUGCUGUUGUGUUUGCAACAAUGAUGUGGCCUAUGAAGCAUCGUUUGGUCUCUUGUAUACGGAAGCUCAUUUGGGCUUGGGUCUUUAUAAGAUCUUCGUUACGCCCUUGUUAAGCGUUCUCGCUUCUCCUAAACGAUUG
rnacentral:misc_RNA from 1 species